rnacentral:tRNA from 1 species
CGGGAAUAGCUCAGCUGGUAGAGCAUCACGUUGCCAACGUGAAUGUCGCGAGUUCAAAUCUCGUUUCCCGCUCCAA